CCUACGGGUGGCAGCAGUGGGGAAUAUUGCACAAUGGGGGAAACCCUGAUGCAGCAACGCCGCGUGAAGGAAGACGGCUUUCGGAUUGUAAACUUCUGUUCUUAGGGAAGAAUAAUGACGCGAGCUAAGGGGCAUGCGACGGCUAACUAUGUGUCCGCAGCCGCGGGAAUACGUAGGUGGCAAGCGUUUUCCGGAUUUACUGGGUGUAAAGGGAGCGCAGGCGGGAAGGCAAGUCAGAUGUGAAAACUACGGGCUUAACGUGUAGACUGCAGUUGAAACUGGUUUUUUUGAGUGAAGUGGAGGUAGGCGGAAUGCCGAGUGUAGCGGUGAAAUGCGUAGAUAUUAGGAGGAACACCAGUGGCGAAGGCGGCCUACUGGGCAUUAACUGACGCUGAGGCUCGAAAGUGUGGGGAGCAAACAGGAUUAGAUACCCUUGUAGUC
rnacentral:rRNA from 1 species